GAUAUUGGUCAAUAGCCUAACGGCUGAACCAGCAACUUGGACGAACGAGAGGCGGAAGCCACAUGUGAUAUAUAUUAUUACAGCAGUAACUCUGUUACAUGAAGUUCUGGGUAAGUGUAUGAUAAUGACAUUAUUUAUCCAAAAGUCUUGACUAAGUCACGUGCCAGCAGUCGCGGUAACACGUGGAAGACAAGUGUUAUUCAUCUUUAUUUGGUUUAAAGGGUACCUAGACAGUUAAUCAAGCCUAAAUAAGGGACUAAUUAUGCUAGAGUUAUAUAGGAGAAGGCUAGAACGGUGAGUGGAGAGAUGAAAUUCUUUGAUACCACUUAGAGACUGACCACGGCGAAAGCAACCUUUUAUGUGAUAACUGACGUUGAGGGACGAAGGCUCAAGGAAAACAACAGGAUUAGAUACCCCAGUAUUGCGAGCAGACAAUGAUGAGUGUCAUAUGUAAGUAUAUGAUUUACGUAUAAAUGAAAGUGUAAGCACUCCACCUUAAGAGUAACAUGGCAACAUAGGAACUGAAAUCAUUAGACCGUUUCUGAAACCAGUAGUGAAGUAUGUUGUUUAAUUUGAUGACCCACAAAGAACCUUACCACAAUUUGAAUAUAUUUUUUAUUAAGGAAAUAUACAGGAGUUGCACGGCUGUCUUCAGUUGAUAUCGUGAGAUUUUGGUUAGCUCCAUUUAAUCAACGUAAACCCUUACUUUAAUUUAAAAAUAAAGUAGUUCACCGCUAAAUUGGUAUAGAUAAUAGGGACUAAGACAAGUCACCAUGACCUAAAUAUU
rnacentral:rRNA from 1 species